CAGCCGCCGCGGUAAUACGUAGGGGGCGAGCGUUAUCCGGAUUUAUUGGGCGUAAAGCGUGCGUAGGCGGUUAAUUAAGUCUAAAAUUUAAUCCUGGAGCUCAACUCCAGUGCGUUUUAGAAACUGGUUAACUUGAGGAUGGUAGAGGCAAGUGGAAUUUCUAGUGUAGCGGUGGAAUGUGUAGAUAUUAGAAGGAACAUCAGUGGCGAAGGCGACUUGCUGGGCCAUAUCUGACGCUGAGGUACGAAAGCGUGGGUAGCAAAUAGGAUUAGAUACCCUAGUAGUCCACGCCGUAAACGAUGAGUACUAAGUGUUGGAAUUAUCCAGUGCUGAAGUUAACGCAUUAAGUACUCCGCCUGAGUAGUACGGUCGCAAGACUGAAACUCAAAGGAAUUGACGGGCACCCGCACAAGCGGUGGAGCAUGCUGUUUAAUUCGAAGAUACGCGAAGAACCUUACCAGGGCUUGACAUCCUACUGAUCGCUCUAGAGAUAGGGCCUUCCCUUCGGGGACAGUGGUGACAGGAGGUGCAUGGCC
rnacentral:rRNA from 1 species